CCUCUGUUGAUCUUCAAACAUGUGGGAUUUGCUCAAAGCUGUUGGCUGAGAAAUCUUUGUGGAGCAGCCAUAAGCUCGGUUUAAGUAAUGAGCUGUCUAUGGUUGCCGUUCUAACUUGUGGGCAUGUUUAUCAUGCUGAGUGUUUGGAGACUAUGACGCCUGAAAUUAGCAAGUAUGAUCCUCCUUGCCCUGUUUGUACUUUGGGGGAGAAGCAGACACAGAAGCUGUCUCAAAAAGCUUUUAAAGCAGAAAUGGAGUUGAAUGCAAAAAACAAGAAGUCAAGGAACCGGGUUGUGGACAGUGAUUUUGAUGGUGAUUCCAUUAUGUUUGAUCGCCUGAAAGUUAGUGGGCAUGCAGGAAAGGAUCCCAAGAUGGCCACCAGUUCCAGCAUGAAGGGCUCCUUAGCUAAGCCUUUCUUGAAGAGGCAUUUUUCGCUUGGAUCGAAGGUAAGUAAAUCCUUAGCAGCAGAGAACAACACAACCAAAAAGAAGGGAUUCUUCUGGACAAGAUCCUUGAAGGUGUGAGGUUUUUACUAACGUUUUAAGAGUUCAGGUUUUGGCACGUCCAUCUCAUUUGUGUACUGCUUUUGCAAGUACAAAUAACUGAAAGCUGUCUUCCCAUUAUGAAAAAUGGAAAGAUUGUUGCCUCUAGGCCUUUAUACAUAACAUCAUUUAUCCUCUAGUUAUACAGUGCUGUUGAAAUUAUUGAUCAGAAAAAAAAAUAUAGAUUUGCAGUUAUGACUAUUGUUGUUGGUUUUAUCAUUUAUACUCUUAGCCUUUCAAAUUGGUGUCAAUUGUAGCUAAAUUUAAACAAGUUGAUGCUGAAACUCUCAAAUUCGUGAUAUAUAUUUUAUUU
rnacentral:misc_RNA from 1 species